rnacentral:rRNA from 1 species
AGCGAACGCUGGCGGCAGGCUUAACACAUGCAAGUCGAGCGGGCACUUCGGUGUCAGCGGCAGACGGGUGAGUAACACGUGGGAACGUACCCUUUGGUUCGGAAUAACGCUGGGAAACUAGCGCUAAUACCGGAUACGCCCUUUUGGGGAAAGGCUUGCUGCCGAAGGAUCGGCCCGCGUGUGAUUAGCUAGUUGGUGGGGUAAUGGCCUACCAAGGCGACGAUCAGUAGCUGGUCUGAGAGGAUGAUCAGCCACACUGGGACUGAGACACGGCCCAGACUCCUACGGGAGGCAGCAGUGGGGAAUAUUGGACAAUGGGCGCAAGCCUGAUCCAGCCAUGCCGGGUGAGUGAUGAAGGCCUUAGGGUUGUAAAGCUCUUUUGUCCGGGACGAUAAUGACGGUACCGGAAGAAUAAGCCCCGGCUAACUUCGUG